rnacentral:rRNA from 1 species
AAAAUAAAUAUCAUGGAGAUAUAAGUAAUUCAAAGGGGUUAUUAAGGAAAACUACUGCAAAUUUAUAAAAAAGGAGGUAUAACACCAAAAGCUUCAAAAAUAAUAUUUUAUUAUUUUACGAUAUGAAAAAUGUAAGCGAUCCUAAGGAAAACCUUUAUAUCAUUUACUUCCUGAAGUAAAACAUUUUAUUAAGGAAAGGAAAGGAAAUCAACCGAGACUCCGAGAGUAAUGGUGAGUGAAAUCGGAUUAGCCUAAUAUAAAUUAAUAAUUGAAUAACUUAAACCUUUAGUAUAAAUAUUAGUCUUGUUUAAACAAUUAUUAAUAAUUACUAAAGAUCUAUUAGUUAGCAUUAAAUUUAUAAAAUAAUUAACCUUAAUUGGUUUUUAAUUUAUUGUUAAUGUACCAUAGAAGGUCAAAUACAAAAGUCCUGUAGAUUAUUAAUUAAUAUAAAUUUAUUAUAGUUUAAAAAAUUUAAUUAAAUUUUAAAUUAAUAUAAAAAUAAAGUAUGAUGAGAGAAAACUUGUCGGAAAAUAGGGGAACCAUCCUCUAAGGCUAAGUAUUAUAAAUUUAGCGAUAGUGAAAAAGUACUGUAAAGGAAAAGUUUGAAAAGCGAGUAGUAUACAAAAAGUGAGUUAGAUAAAAUUUAACAAUUUUUGUUAAUUAAAUCUAAUGAAUCGGUGAAAUAGUUCUUGAAUUAGUAACUCUAUAAGCAGUCGAAAUUCUACUUUAAAUCAUAAAAGACUAAAGAAUGACGGCGUACCUUUUGCAUAAUGGGUCAGCAAGUUAAUAGGAGUAGCAAGGUUAAAAGCCCUAGCGAAAGCGACUGGACUAUAUUAUAAAAAUACAAAUUUUAUAAAUAAAUAGUGAUGGAUAAGUUACUUCUAUUAGACCCGAAGCCAGGUGAUCUUACCAAGGCCAGAUUAUAAUGGAUCGAACGGGUGAAUGUUGCAUAAUUCUCCGAUGAGUCUUGGUAAGCGGUGAAAUGCCAAUCUGACCUGGUGAUAGCUGGUUUUCUACCGAAACAUAUUUAAGUAUGACGUCUACACUAGAUUUAUGAAGGUACAGCAAGGCAAUUCCCAACAAUUAUAAGUAUUGUUAUUGGUAAAUCUUUAACAUAAAUUAUAUGCGUUUAGGUUGUGGGGAUCUCGAAAAUCUUACCUUUGGAAGCGAAUCUCGGAAUUACAUAAAUUGAUGGUAGACAUUCAGACUACUCAUGCUAAGUUGGGUAGUCAAGACGGAAACAGCCGAGAACACAGAUCAAGGUCCCAAAUGAUUGUUAAGUGAAAUUAAGGACGUAGCAUAAUCGAAUACAGCUGGGAAGUGAGCUUGGCAGUUGCUACUUUUAAUGAACGUUUGUAACAACGCAUCAGCAGUUAAGAUCGUAGCGCCGAAAAUUUAACGGGUCUUAAACAAUCAACCGAUAUCGUGUUGAUUAGGAAUAAAUUAAAAAAACAAAAUAAAAAUUAAAAUUAAAAUUAAAAUAAAAAUUAAAAUUAAAUUAGAUCUUUACCUAUAAUUUGUUCUUAAUCUAGGUAGUAGAACAUUCAGUCAAACUAAUAAUAGAAUAGUGUUUCAUUAUUUUUUAGGUUACUGAAGAGAGAAUGCUGACAUGAGUAACGUAAAAAGAAGUUAUAAUACUUCUCGCCGAAUACGAAAGGGUUGCAAAUUGGAAAGGUUAAUCCGUUUUGUGUGAAUGCGGCCUCUAAGGACCAAAACCAAAGUUUUGGCUGAUGAGUAUAAAAUAGAAAGUCCUUAUAUUAAGGACCAGGAAAAUAAUAUUUUUUGUUUUAUAUAUUUUUUUUUUAACAAAUAUACUACCGUACCCUAAACCGACACAGGUUCGUAGGUAGAGUAUACUAAGGCGUAGAGCUAAAAGUUGUUAAGGAACUCGGCAAGUUCAUCUCAUAAGUUAGACGAUAAGAGAUACCCUGUUUUAAGUAAUAAAAUUAUUAAAUCUUAAUAAAAUUAUAACUGUAUCACAGGGUGGCACAUAAUCGGAGGCCACGACUGUUUACUAAAAACACAACACAGUGCAAUCAUUAAUAUGGUAGUAUACUGUGUGAAAUUUGCCCAAUGCCAUUAAUAUAAAUGCGGUCAUAGGGAACUGUGACUAAUUGAAAAUCUGGUUAAUAGCGGUCUUAACCAUGAGGAUCCUAAGGUAGCAAAAUAAAUUGGCCAUUAAAUGUGGUCCGGUAUCAAUAAUGUAACGAUGGCCUCACUGUCUCUACAACUUGCUCAGUGAAAUUGAAUUACGCGUGCAGAUGCGCGUUACCUCCAGUGGGACGGGAAGUGUUGAUGCAGCUUUACUGUAGUUAGUUAUCACAUGAAUCUAGAACAACUUUAAUUAAUAGUGAAUAGGUAAGUCGAUAGACAUAUAGUGGAAACCUUAUAACUAAGGUUGGGUUUGUGUUUACCUUAUACACCUCUUUAAUCAUUUAUUGUAUUGAAAAAAACAAAAAUAAUUUUUCUUUAUUUUAUAGGAAUUUAGAGGAAUGAAGGGAUAGUUGACUAAUUGGCAGUUUGACUGGGGCGGUCGUCUUUAAUAGAGUAGCAAAGUACAUCCAAAUAUUUCAUAUUUUUUAAAUAUACUAUUUAUUCUUAUUCUUUCUUUAAGAUUGAAGCUUGAAUUAAAUUAGAAUAUUCAAACAAAAACUUAGGUUAAUAAGUGAAAAUUUAUUUCAAAAAAACUUUUCUUUACUUCUUAUUUAGAAGAACGAGAAUUAGUCACAUAAAUAAUAUACAAAUUUUACAAGGCAUAGCUAGAAAUUGAAUGGAGAUCAAUCAACCAGUGAAGGGUUGCGGAGAGUACAAUGGCGGAAAGCAUGCUUAACUGAAAGACCCAAAAGUCGCACAGAUACGUAAGUAGGGCAUAGUGACCCCUCGCUAUAGUAUGGAAUAGACGGGGAUCAAUUGAUAAAAGUUACGCUAGGGAUAACAGGCUGAUAGCCGACGAGAGUACACAUUGUCUCGGCUGUUUGGCACCUUGAUGUCGACUCAUCCUAUCCUCCGGGGGAAGAAGCUUGGAAGGGUUCGGCUGUUCGCCGAUUAAAAGGGUACGUGAGUUGGGUUAAUACGACGUGAGUCAGUAUGGUCCCUAUCUUCUGGAGGGAUAAAUAGUAAAAAGGGGCAGACCUUCUAGUACGAAAGGACCAAUAGGCUGUGUUUCUCUAGUGUACCAAUUGUUUUUACUUUUGUAAGGGACUCAAAGUAUCUUAACUGAACUUUGGGGAAAAUCCUUUUUAACUUUCUUGCACAAAGUUUUUACUCAUAACCUCUAAAAAGGGGGGACUGAGAAAAAGGUAACAAAUAGGAACGCAUAGUUGGGUAGCCACAAACAUAAUAGAUAAGUGCUGAAUGUCUCUCAAGCAAGAAUCUAACCCCUAGAUACUAACAAAUGGAUCUCUACUAAAUCUAAAAUUUUAAGAUAGAGUCUAAAACCAUUAAUUAAGAAAUAGAACAUUUCUAAAUAGGCUGCAAAUGUACGUACUGUAAA